rnacentral:misc_RNA from 1 species
GUAAAAAGGACUUUGAUCUCUUGAUAUUCCCAAAUUUCUACGUAAUACAUAGAGCUAAGCAACUUUGCUCUGGCUUUCGUAGUAGCAUAAAAAGUUUUUGUGGGUUUUGCUCCUGAUAAUUCAAGAAAAAACAUUUCUUGCUAAACGUUUUAGGUUGAGGAAGGACACCGCCAGUGUUUGAGUUCUUGGAUCAGGCUCAGUCGCUUUGCAAUUGGGACCUUCGGCCUGUUACUGUAAUUAACACAUACACCCAUAAAACAUAUAAAUAGCUCAGGACAUUCAUUUACCCAAACUCAUUCCCAACCCUAGAAAACUAGGUUGAGAAUUGAGACUUGUGUUGGAAGAAAUAUUCGGCAAUCCAGGAACACACAAGGCCUCUUGUUCUACUGAGUACCGACUUAUUUACUCCUACAUUGCAUUCUGUAAUUUUUGAACUACCAGUACAACUGUCCAAAAUACCCACAAGUCUGAGAUGCUUUGUGCACUAAGUCACACCUCUUUGGUUAACAUCCACUGACAGCUGAUUGGCAAUUCAACCAGAGCUCAUCUAAGAUGUGCCAUUGAUCAAUGAAUGCACAAAUAUAUAACUAUAAUGAAACAAAAUCUAGGGCAUGCAAGUCGAGUGUAAAAAUCCGGAAGUUUAAAACACUAAAUAACAUCUUUGAUUAAAAACUAUGAUAGCAAGAUGAAAAGGAACAAGGAAAUCAAAAAGGAUUAACUAUCAGUGAUUUACGAUAACAUCAGUGAGCAAAACAGUGAGGUUAACCACCU